UUCAGGGUUCAUCUGGACAGGCUCCUGUGAGUUGUUUACCUGGACCCAAUUUGCUAAAGGGAAAAAUGUAAUGUAUUGUGGUAAACUGCACUAACCAGACAGAGAAAAGCGAAGAAAGCUGGUGUCAGCUGAUAGCAAGAGUGGCAUAUACCUCAUAGAAAGAUAAAAUUACUAGAUGACGACAGAUGGCAUUAAUUACAGUAUUGGGUGUGUGCAAGUCUAUGUGUGUGUAUGGCAGCAUGAGGAUAAACUAUAACAGAAACAUCAUUGCCCAUGAGGAGAAAGUGCAGCAACUUCCGGCAACUUUUCCUGGGAAUCCACAGAGGCUACAAGCAUGAAUACCACAUACAAUUUUCAAGUUGUAACUUCAGAUUCAUAUUUCGGUCAUUGCUGGUGAAGAUACACUUAAGGAAAGAAGUUUCCAGAGAAGUUGUGAUACAGUGGUCUGUUACUGAAGGACUUGGAAGAAGGGCUGCUUGGGAGCUGCCUGGCUUACUAGAUACAGCACAAAAUGACAUCUCCUUUGCUAGCUGAAUUGAAAGGCCAUGAUUUCAGUUCAAGGUCUUAUAUAAUGUAACUCUGCCCUCCUGUUUACUUUUGUACUUUCACCUGCUUUUCUAUCCUCUCUUUAUUCAACACAAGAACAAGACUUGCAAGAUUUUCUCAACGUGCUUCUCUCCCUCUGCUCUCACAACUUCUUCCAUAUGGCCCCAUUUGUCUUCAUCCUACUUCCUGAAGCAGUCUGACAACCUUUCGCACUUUUCUUUUUGAAUGACUCGUGAAGACACAACUUGAGAAAAAAGGACGAUAGAUGUUGGCCUACUCAUCCAGUGAAUAGAUGCAUGUCUAUCUACAUAAGACAUUUAUGAAUCAUGGGGCUAACAAGAUGUGUGCUUAACUUUUACCCUUUCUGUUCAAUGCUUUCAUCAAUUCAGUCUUUUUCCUCCCACUCCCUUAUGUAUGUACUGUCUAAUUAGACUAACAUUUUUGA